AGCAAUCUGCUGUGCACCGUAUAAUCUAAUUAAUUCGUUUUUUCACUGUCGUCGUAACUAUAUUCUGGAUUAAGGUUUUAGUCGCCGUAGUCGUCUGUGAACAGGGCAAGCUAUAGGCAUUAAGAAGUCCGAAAACGUAACACAAAAAAUUGAGAAGUGAAUAGUGCUGGAAAAACGAACACUGCCAGAUCAUCAUCCAGGGUGAGGACAACUGUCGCUGUACCAGUAUCGAAGGCGAUACCAACAGCUUCAAAGCGCUGGAAGCGCUCAUUUUAAUCAACGUCGGGCUAGUGUCACAGAAGACCUACUAAGCUACCGGCCAUCUGCAGGCUGGAAUUGUCUAACAACCGCAUUUAGACAAGACUGUGGAUGGAUCCAACCGAGAAAACGCCAAAGCAUGAUGAGGAGGACGACAAUUAUGUUUUGUUAGCUGAUGUUUAUAAUUUAAAUCUCGAAAAAGACGGAUAAGUCUGGAACAAGGAGAAUGGGGAAGUCGAUCAAGACUUCCACGAAUGCACCGAUGAGGAUUUAAACGACGGAAAAGGUUAAGCCGCAGUGAUUGGAAAUUACUACAGACGAGCUACCAAAUAAGUGUUGCCGUCGUCCAUUGUUUCACACUGGGAGAGUUAAGCUUCAAUCUAAAGGAUCUGAUGCAGCAAUCGUGCAACCAAACCAUGUACGAAGUGGACGAAACCAGAAAUAAAAACAUGCAUGCCUUAAUAAAGAUUUAUAAGCCUUUUUAACAUGGUA